ACUACCAUUCGGGAUUUCUAU
rnacentral:miRNA from 1 species